rnacentral:rRNA from 1 species
UANANAUGCAGUCGAGCGGAUGACAGGAGCUUGCUCCUGAAUUCAGCGGCGGACGGGUGAGUAAUGCCUAGGAAUCUGCCUGGUAGUGGGGGACAACGUUUCGAAAGGAACGCUAAUACCGCAUACGUCCUACGGGAGAAAGCAGGGGACCUUCGGGCCUUGCGCUAUCAGAUGAGCCUAGGUCGGAUUAGCUAGUUGGUGAGGUAAUGGCUCACCAAGGCGACGAUCCGUAACUGGUCUGAGAGGAUGAUCAGUCACACUGGAACUGAGACACGGUCCAGACUCCUACGGGAGGCAGCAGUGGGGAAUAUUGGACAAUGGGCGAAAGCCUGAUCCAGCCAUGCCGCGUGUGUGAAGAAGGUCUUCGGAUUGUAAAGCACUUUAAGUUGGGAGGAAGGGCAUUAACCUAAUACGUUAGUGUUUUGACGUUACCGACAGAAUAAGCACCGGCUAACUCUGUGCCAGCAGCCGCGGUAAUACAGAGGGUGCAAGCGUUAAUCGGAAUUACUGGGCGUAAAGCGCGCGUAGGUGGUUCGUUAAGUUGGAUGUGAAAGCCCCGGGCUCAACCUGGGAACUGCAUUCAAAACUGACGAGCUAGAGUAUGGUAGAGGGUGGUGGAAUUUCCUGUGUAGCGGUGAAAUGCGUAGAUAUAGGAAGGAACACCAGUGGCGAAGGCGACCACCUGGACUGAUACUGACACUGAGGUGCGAAAGCGUGGGGAGCAAACAGGAUUAGAUACCCUGGUAGUCCACGCCGUAANCGAUGUCAACUAGCCGUUGGGAGCCUUGAGCUCUUAGUGGCGCAGCUAACGCAUUAAGUUGACCGCCUGGGGAGUACGGCCGCAAGGUUAAAACUCAAAUGAAUUGACGGGGGCCCGCACAAGCGGGNAAGCAUNNGGUUUAAUUCGAAGCAACGCGAAANNCNUUACCAGGCCUUGACAUCCAAUGAACUUUUCCNNAGAAUGGAUUGG